rnacentral:rRNA from 1 species
UGAAUACGAGACGCUACGGCGUUGAAGCAGUCUAUGUCAUACUUCCAAGAAAAGCUCGCAAUGUCAUAAACAAAUAAUGCCUGUACCAUAACCGACACAGGUGGGUAGGUAGAGUAUACUAAGGGGCGCGAGAUAACUCUCUCUAAGGAACUCGGCAAAAUGACUCCGUAACUUCGGGAGAAGGAGUGCCUUAUUUAUAAGGUUGCAAUAACAAGAUCCAAGCAACUGUUUAUCAAAAACACAGGUCUCCGCUAAGUCGUAAGACGAUGUAUGGGGGCUGACGCCUGCCCAGUGCCAGAAGGUUAAAGAAGUUGGUUAGCAUUCGCGAAGCUGAUAACUGAAGCCCUGGUGAACGGCGGCCGUAACGAUAACGGUCCUAAGGUAGCGAAAUUCCUUGUCGGGUAAGUUCCGACCCGCACGAAAGGCGUAAUGAUUUGGAUACUGUCUCGGAGAGGGGCUCGGUGAAAUAGACUUGUCUGUGAAGAUGCGGACUACCUGCACCUGGACAGAAAGACCCUAUGAAGCUUUACUGUAACUUGAAAUUGAAAUUGGACUUUAUUUGCGCAGUAUAGGUGGGAGGCGUUGAGAGUAUUCUUGCGGGAAUAUUGGAGCCAUCAGUGAGAUACCACUCUUGUAAUGUUAGAUUUCUAACUUUGUAUCAUUAUCUGGUCAAAGAACAGUUUCAGGCGGGCAGUUUGACUGGGGCGGUCGCCUCCCAAACGGUAACGGAGGCGUACAAAGGUUUCCUCUGAACGGGUAGAAAUCGUAUCUAGAGUGUAAAGGCAUAAGGAAGCUUGACUGUGAGACCUACAAGUCGAGCAGGGACGAAAGUCGGUCUUAGUGAUCUGACGGUGCUGAGUGGAAAGGCCGUCACUCAACGGAUAAAAGUUACUCUAAGGAUAACAGGCUGAUCUCCCCCAAGAGUUCACAUCGACGGGGAGGUUUGGCACCUCGAUGUCGGCUCAUCGCAUCCUGGGGCGGUAGUACGUCCCAAGGGUUGGGCUGUUCGCCCAUGAAAGCGGUACGCGAGCUGGGUUCAGAACGUCGUGAGACAGUUCGGUCCAUAUCCGGUGUAGGCGUUAGAAUAUUGAGAGGAGCCUUCUUUAGUACGAGAGGACCGAGAAGGACAUACCUCUGGUGUACCAGUUAUCGUGCCAACGGUAAACGCUGGGUAGCUAUGUAUGGAGAGGAUAACCGCUGAAAGCAUCUAAGUGGGAAGCCCACCUCAAGAUAAGUA